AUGACUGCUUGCAAGCAGACCGCAUCCACGGGCGCCGCCGCCACGUACGAGGCCGACAGCAAGUCGGCAGCGAAGAGCGAUGGAGCGGAGGAGCGGAAGCCCUCGACCAAGUGCAGGAAGGGGAAGAAGGCCAAGGGCAAGUUGGCGGUGAAGAGCAAUGUUGCGGAGAAGCCCAAGACCCAUGACCUUUCCGAUGUUACACGCGGGUUGGCGGUAAUGAGCAUUGCAACAGAGAAGCCGUUGGAUGAACAGCUCGCCCAGCACGCCCUGUUCACCUACCAGAACUACUUCUGGAUGGACAACUUCAAAGGCGUCUAUGACAAGCCGUCCGUAGAUGCUAUUAAAAGGAAAGCUGCUGAAAACUGGAAAUCCUUUAGCGAUUCGGACAAAGCCCCUUAUGUGGCCAUUGCACGUGUGAACAGAAUACUCAUUGCCGAGGCAUAUGAGUUCAAGAAGGCCAUGAUGAAGUUCAUUUGGCGUCUGGCUUAUGAUCCUGAGAUCCGCAAGGCCGAUGACAACCUCUUCGUCAUUCAGAUGUUUUGUGUUGGUGACUGGAAUAGAGUUAUGCACCAAGGUCCUUGGAUCUUCAGAGGUCUCAUGGUGAUCAUCGAGGAAUAUGAUGGAAGAGGUAAACCGAAUGCGGUCGAGCUUGAUCGUGUGCACGUGUGGGCACAGAUCCAUGACACCACAGAGCUUUAUCGUAAGGAGCCUAUCCUGGAUCAGCUAGCCCGGAGAAUCGGUCAGAGGUGGAACAAAGCUAGGGGUGGAAGACGCGGAGGCACCAAUGGUGCAAGAAAGCGCUCUUCACAAGAGGCGGGACUGCAGGAGGAAGACCUGCAUGAUACUGUUGAAAGCCCCUUGAAAGCUGACCCAGUGGAGAAGAAAGAUGACCAGCCGCAGCAGCCGGGACAAUCAGAACCAUCAGCAAGGAAAAUGCUUGAUCUCCCUGAUGACGCACCUGCUACGGACAUGGAAGAGAAACAGGGGGACGUGCAUGCACAGGGCUGCCUCCGAUGGUCCUGCUUUGGGUGGCCUUUGUCGCCGGAGUUGUACCCGUUUGGCGGCUGGAGGUGGGAGGUGGCUCCGGAGAAAUCCGAGGCCAGCAGUGCUGGCCACAAUGGCGGCGACGCCCGAGGGCGCCGUACCCUUCUUCUGCCGUGCGACGACAAGGACCACAUGCUAUUUGCAAUGGCAACCGAGGUUACAGUGGGGGAUGGUCGACGGGCCAUGUUUUGGCACGAUCGCUGGCUUCAUGGACAAUGCCCAAAAACCUUUGUGCCUACCCUCUUCAAGAUCGCUGCAAGGAAGAACAGAACAGUCCAUGAGGCACUGCUCGAGGAAACUUGGUUAACAGACCUAGCUAAAGGGCUAAAUGAUCAGAUGCUACCGGAACUGAUGCGGCUAGCAACAUUAUUAGAUGAGGUGCAGCUUCACGAGGGCCAGGACGAUGCUAUCUGCUGGCGUUUCACAGAAUCGUUAGAUUACACAGCGAGAUCUGCCUACCUCCUGCAGUUCGAGGGAUCGAUCCCCACGGAGAACUACAAUCUAAUUUGGAGAGUGUGGGCGCCAGAGAAAUGUCGUUUCUUCGCCUGGACUGCGACACUUGGGAGGAUCCUCACUGCGGAUGUUCUGCUGCGGCGUGGAUGGGAGAACAACUAUUUUUGUGCACUAUGUGAAAGAAACCUGGAAACCACGACGCACUUGUUCUGGGAAUGCCCACGGUCCAAGCAAGCUUGGGGAAGGAUCGCCCACCUAACUAGCAUGCCCGCGCUCAAGCCGCAGUCAUGGAGCAACCAAACAAGCAUCUUGGGAUGGAUGGUUGACUGUCACAACCGAGCGGCAACGGAGAAGAAGAAAGGAACUUUGUCCUUGUUACACCUUGUUCCCUGGGAAUUGUGGAAAGAAAGUAAUAGGAGGACGUUCCAGCAGGAAGCUCUGAGCUUAGACGGUUUUGUCAGGCGAUUAAGAGAGGAAAUCACACUCUGGAACCUCACGGGAGCUGGUAUUCCUUUUGAUCCAGGCUAG
rnacentral:rRNA from 1 species